UGCCAGCCGCCGCGGUAAUACAGAGGGUGCAAGCGUUAAUCGGAAUUACUGGGCGUAAAGCGUGCGUAGGCGGAAUUUUAAGUCAAAUGUGAAAGCCCCGGGCUCAACCUGGGAAUUGCAUCUGAUACUGAAGAUCUAGAAUAUGGCAGAGGAUAGUGGAAUUUCUGGUGUAGCGGUGAAAUGCGUAGAUAUCAGGAGGAACAUCAGUGGCGAAGGCGGCUCCCUGGCCAAAGACUGACGCUCAUGUGCGAAAGUGUGGGUAGCGAACAGGAUUAGAUA
rnacentral:rRNA from 1 species